CUACGGAGGGUCCAAGCGUUAUCCGGAAUCAUUGGGUUUAAAGGGUUCGCAGGCGGUUUAAUAAGUCAGUGGUGAAAUCUCGAGGCUCAACCUCGAAACUGCCAUUGAUACUGUUAGACUUGAAUACAGUUGGAGUAGGCGGAAUGUGUAGUGUAGCGGUGAAAUGCUUAGAUAUUACACAGAACACCGAUAGCGAAGGCAGCUUACUAAACUGUGAUUGACGCUCAUGAACGAAAGCGUGGGGAGCGAACAGGAUUAGAAACCCUAGUAGUCC
rnacentral:rRNA from 1 species